rnacentral:rRNA from 1 species
CAAUAGCGUAUAUUAACGUUGUUGCAGUUAAAAAGCUCGUAGUUGGAUUUCUGGAGGGAGCGUCGGCCCGUAUUUACGAGUGCGUGACGUCUCUGUCCAUCCUUGCGGGAAGGCACGGCAUUGAUUUGUUGUGUCGGAUCGCAUCAUUUACUGUGAAAAAAUUAGAGUGUUCAAAGCAGGCUUUCGCUUGAAUACAUUAGCAUGGAAUAAUAAGAUAGGACUUUGGUGCUACUUUGUUGGUUGAGCCUAAAGUAAUGAUUAAUAGGGAUAGUUGGGGGCACCUGUAUUGCGUUGUCAGAGGUGAAAUUCUUGGAUUUACGCAAGACAAACAGCUGCGAAANCGNNNGCCAAGGAUGUUUUCAUNAA